rnacentral:rRNA from 1 species
UACGAAGGGUGCAAGCGUUACUCGGAAUUACUGGGCGUAAAGCGCACGCAGGUGGCUGAGUCAGUCGAUUGUGAAAGCCCUGGGCUUAACCUGGGAAUUGCAGUCGAUACUACUCAGCUAGAGUAUGGGAGAGGGCAGUGGAAUUCCCGGUGUAGCGGUGAAAUGCGUAGAUAUCGGGAGGAACAUCAGUGGCGAAGGCGGCUGCCUGGCCCAAUACUGACACUCAGGUGCGACAGCGUGGGGAGCAAACAGG